AUUCCCCNNGUAACUGCGAGUGAAGCGGGAAAAGCUCAAAUUUAAAAUCUGGUAGUCUUUGGCUGCCCGAGUUGUAAUCUAGAGAAGCAUUAUCCGCGCUGGACCGUGUACAAGUGUCCUGGAAUGGACUAUCAUAGAGGGUGAGAAUCCCGUCUUUGACACGGACUCCCAGGGCUUUGUGAUGUGCUCUCAAAGAGUCGAGUUGUUUGGGAAUGCAGCUCUAAAUGGGUGGUAAAUUCCAUCUAAAGCUAAAUAUUGGCGAGAGACCGAUAGCGAACAAGUACCGUGAGGGAAAGAUGAAAAGAACUUUGGAAAGAGAGUUAAACAGUACGUGAAAUUGCUGAAAGGGAAACGCUUGAAGUCAGUCGCGUUGGCUGGGAAUCAACCUUGCUUCUUGCUUGGCUUACUUCCCAGUUGACGGGUCAGCAUCAGUUUUGACCAGUGGAUAAAGGUUAGGGGAAUGUGGCACCUCCGGGUGUGUUAUAGCCCUUGAUCAUAUACAUUGGUUGG
rnacentral:rRNA from 1 species